UGUGAGUAAGAGAUUCUACUGGUGUGAGGGUGAGAGAUUACUGGUGUGUGUGUGAGAGAUUACUGGUGUGAGGGUGAGAGAUUACUGGUGUGAGGGUGAGAGAUUACUGGUGUGAGUAAGAGAUUACUAGGCUUAGUCUUAGAUGAUUUUUUUCGGAGUCUUUGGGGCGAGUGUAUGAAGAUUAUUAGGGUGAAUGGCUCGAUGAUAAUUGGUGUGAGCGUGUUAUCAGUUUUUGGACUGCGUGAGUGAUGAUGAUUUGCGGGCCGAGCGUUUGAUACUUAUCGGCGCCAGUUUAUGAUGAUUAUUGGGAUGUGUCCGUGCUGGCACUCAGGUGAGCGUCAUGAGUCGUAGGGUGUGUGUGAAAUAAUUUUUUAGGGUGUUUGUGCGAGUUAUGAUUCAGUGCCAACAACGAAAGUAAAACUCCAGCUAUGCACUUUUGGAGUUCCUUAACGUCUUGCUCGGGACCGGUUCACCCAGCUAAGCUAAAAAAAGACCAUACUUCACAUACCUUAAGGGCAAACCGAGACAGUGCACCUACUGUGCAUUACAGAGAAACUUUUAUAGAACCAGUGGAACCAGACUCAAAACCAUCGAAAGACUCCACCGUAACAGGAUGCGCAACAUCGCAUCAGCAUCACUAACUGGUUCCUUGAGGAACCAUUACACAAGCAUGCAGACUGCAGGCAUGCCACUGAGGAAACUAUUCUUUAAAGUCAACGCUGGGUUUAUUAUGAGACAGGUAAACAUUUAACAUCCCUUUAAUGGAAUAAUAAGCUCAAGCGCUUUGUGUACAUUAAAAAUCGCUUUGUAAUGCGAAUUGAUUUUUUUCUUUAAGGUGUGAACAAAACAAUCCUGAUUUGAACGAGAACUUUGUAUAAAGAGUCUCCAAAAUCAGGUGUGUUAACAUGACCUGACAAAAAAAAAAAAAGGUGCAUAUUCAAAACAUUUAUGCAAAUCGAAUCCACCAUGUAAAAUACACUUUCAGCCUGCAAAACACCAAAAGUGGAGUCUUAUAACCAACUUGCCGUUAGCGGCCAGUCGCUCUGGAUAGCACAGGGGGUUUUGCAUACAUAUUUGGGUUCUCAUUGUUCGAGACAGCAAACCAUAGUCAUCUGGGCUGUUUUAUAGAGAUCACAAGACAGCCAGCCCAUUCCCUGACAAUUAUAAACACUCAGGAGCAUUCAAAGUUAAAGGGGAAGAAGUCAAAUUUACACAAAUAUCCUUACUCCACACCUCAUACUUAAUCGAGCAGCUAAGACAUGCUGGUGCGGAAACUCUUCCUUUCACUGAGCAUGUUAGUCUCAUUUUAGCCCCAAGCUCUGAAAUUCACUUCCUCAACUCACAAAUCACGUCCGCAACCGUGAAUAUAUUUCAAGAUUCAAAAGGUCUUUAAAAACUCAUCUCUUCAGGCUCGCGUAUUCUCUGUGACAUUUAUACAUAAG
ensembl:lncRNA